rnacentral:rRNA from 1 species
CUCCGGUUGAUCCUGCCGGACCCGACUGCUAUCAGAGUGGGACUAAGCCAUGCGAGUCAACAUAGCAAUAUGUGGCAUACGGCUCAGUAACACGUAGUCAACAUGCCCAGGGGACGUGGAUAACCUCGGGAAACUGAGGAUAAACCGCGAUAGGUCAUCACUUCUGGAAUGGGUAAUGACUUAAAUCUAUAUGGCCCCUGGAUUGGACUGCGGCCGAUCAGGCUGUUGGUGAGGUAAUGGCCCACCAAACCUGUAACCGGUACGGGCUCUGAGAGGAGGAGCCCGGAGAUGGGCACUGAGACAAGGGCCCAGGCCCUAUGGGGCGCAGCAGGCGCGAAACCUCUGCAAUAGGCGAAAGCUUGACAGGGUUACUCUGAGUGAUUUCCGUUAAGGAGAUCUUUUGGCACCUCUAAAAAUGGUGCAGAAUAAGGGGUGGGCAAGUCUGGUGUCAGCCGCCGCGGUAAUACCAGCACCCCGAGUGGUCGGGACGAUUAUUGGGCCUAAAGCAUCCGUAGCCGGUUCUGCAAGUCCCCCGUUAAAUCCAGCUGCUCAACAGAUGGGCCGCGGAGGAUACUACAGAGCUAGGAGGCAGGAGAGGCAAGCGGUACUCAGUGGGUAGGGGUAAAAUCCGUUGAUCCAUUGAAGACCACCAGUGGCGAAGGCGGCUUGCCAGAAUGCGCUCGACGGUGAGGGAUGAAAGCUGGGGGAGCAAACCGGAUUAGAUACCCGGGUAGUCCCAGCCGUAAACGAUGCAGACUCGGUGAUGGGUUGGCUUCGCGCUAACCCAGUGCCGCAGGGAAGCCGUUAAGUCUGCCGCCUGGGUAGUGCGGUCGCAAGACUGAAACUUAAAGGAAUUGGCGGGGGAGCA